AGCGCAGCGACCGAGCGGCCGGCAUGCGGGCCUCCAUCCUGGUCCUGGCUCUGAGCGCUGCGGCUGUGACCGGCCACAAGUUCAAAUAUGAGUGGUGCAAGCUGCCCGCCGUGCAGGGCCCCUGCAAAGCCUCCUUCAAACGGUGGUACUUCAACGAAGAGCGGGGAGAAUGUGUCCAGUUCCAGUACGGAGGAUGCAAGGGAAACAAGAACCGGUUCAAAUCGGCUUCCAAGUGCAGACUGGCCUGCGGUCGGGAGCUUUGCGACCAGGAGCCACCGAGCGGCAAAUGCAGACUCUUCAUGAGGUUAACGCGUUGGUAUUACAGUCAAUCGGAAGAUAAAUGUAAAACAUUCACAUACCGCGGUUGCAAGGAUAGCGCAAACAAGUUCAAAUCAAAAGCGUCAUGCGAGCGGCGCUGCCCCAGCAUCGGCGCACCACCAGCCCCCACCACCACCGCACCACCAGCCCCCGCCACCACUGGUGCACCCGCUCCCUUGGGCUUUUGCAACAGGCCCCAGUUCUGCAACGACCCGAUGGACGAGGGCAUCUGCCUCGCCCAAAUCAAACGCUACUACUUCGACGGCACUUGCUGCCGAAAAUUCUACUUCGGCGGCGUGGGCGGCAACCUGAACAACUUCAAAUCUAAGAAUGCUUGCAUGCGAGUAUGCAUGCCAACGGCGUCAACAAAUAUGUGGCCUGUACUAGUAGGGUAGUUCAUUCGAAUAGACGGAUGUGGGCCAUGGGGCUCCUAUAAUGUUUUCUGAGUGACCAUAGCCUUAGGGUCUAUAGCAGGACUACGCAAGGCAAGGAGCUGCUGGAAGCACCAGGCCACUGAGACGUUUGCACCUGACAUUCAUGUGGCAUAGGCACCUGCCCGGUAGAGGCGACUUAUGGGGACACAGGUUGUGGUCCUCAGUCACCACUAGGAUAAGUUAUAACAGUACUAGAAAGGUUGGGGGUCUGUCGCAGGUCUGUGUGCCCCUAAGGUCUGGGGACGUGGGUGUAUGAUCACCACUCUUGUCCGCUUUUUACAGAAAUAAUAAAUGUAACUAUCUGAAACUA